GGCUUGCUGGUCUAGUGGUAUGAUUCUCGGUUAGGGUGCGAGAGGUCACGGGUUCGUUUCCCGUGCAAGCCC
rnacentral:tRNA from 1 species